UUUGGUACCUUCCUGUUCGACCUGUGAUUUGUGAAGAAUUAAAACCAAGAGUAGCCCUCGUGACUGUAACAUUUGCUGGGAGGAUGUUGGCCUUCAUGAGUCCUCAAGUUGCAGGCUUCAUGAAAGCACAGGCUGUCUGCUUUAUUCACCUCCGUGUUUCUAGGACCUGGUAUGUGAUUCACUGGAUGACUGAAUGAGUUCCAAUGUCUACAAGGAGAAGAACCCUGUUGAUUCCUACAUUACUGAGUUGGGUUUCUG